AAGUCCCUUCGGGGAUGAGUACAGCGGCGGACGGGUGAGAAACGCGUGAGAAUUUACCCUUUAGUGAAGAAUACCCUCGAGAAAUCGAGGUUAAUACUGCAUACGUCCCUUCGGGGAGAAAGAUGGCCUCUUUGCUGUCGCUAAAGGAUAAGCUUGCGUACUAUUAGCUAGUUGGUGAGGUAAAGGCUCACCAAGGCGAUGAUGGUUAGCCGGCCUGAGAGGGUGUACGGCCACACUGGAACUUAGACACGGUCCAGACUCCUACGGGAGGCAGCAGUGGGGAAUAUUGCGCAAUGGGCGAAAGCCUGACGCAGCGACGCCGCGUGGAGGAUGAAGGUCUUCGGA
rnacentral:rRNA from 1 species